GAGCCAAAAGUUCCAAACAUCCAAAAUAAAGUGUGCAUUAGAGUGUACGAUAAAUAGUGAAUGUGUUUCGUUUUUCUAUGAUCUAACUUUAGGUAUAUGCUACCUUCAUGAACAAGUAUAUAACGAAGAUACAGCUAGCAUGGCGGCAAACACGGUCUACUAUACAUCAGCAUCAAAAGGGACAAGCCAAGCAGUGUCAACCGCGAUGGCAUCCGAGACACCACCACCAGGGACAACUACAUCACCAGAAGCAACCACCCCAUCCUUCAUUUGCCCCUCGCCUUAUAUCAUGGCCAGUGGAAUGUGUUUCCAUGUGAAUACAACUCUGGUAACUUGGCCAGAUGCUAGAGCAAGCUGCCAGAGUAAAGAUGGUGAUUUGAUUAUUAUAGACACUCAACAAAAACUGGACGAAAUUGCACUUCACAUAACAGCGGGACUUUACCAGAUUGGAAUUCACCACAUAGCCAAUAAUGGAAAUUUUGAAUUUGUCGAUGGACGAAACCAAAAUGAUGUGAGCUUUAAUGCAUGGGCAUUAACUGAACCGGAUUCUGGACCAGAUUCUUGCGGGCGACUAAAGGAUUGGAAAUGGGACGAUGGUCAAUGUGGUGGUUAUCCAAGGAAAUUUAUAUGCGAAAUCAAAUAAUUCAAUAAUAUACAUUUAAUUUUAAUACGAUGAGAUAUAUUCCUGUCUUUUUUGA